rnacentral:rRNA from 1 species
CUCUUGACUCAGAGCACUUUCCAGAGAUGGUUUGGUGCCUUCGGGAACUCUGAGACAGGUGCUGCAUGGCUGUCGUCAGCUCGUGUUGUGAAAUGUUGGGUUAAGUCCCGCAACGAGCGCAACCCUUAUCCUUUGUUGCCAGCGGUUCGGCCGGGAACUCAAAGGAGACUGCCAGUGAUAAACUGGAGGAAGGUGGGGAUGACGUCAAGUCAUCAUGGCCCUUACGAGUAGGGCUACACACGUGCUACAAUGGCGCAUACAAAGAGAAGCGACCUCGCGAGAGCAAGCGGACCUCAUAAAGUGCGUCGUAGUCCGGAUUGGAGUCUGCAACUCGACUCCAUGAAGUCGGAAUCGCUAGUAAUCGUAGAUCAGAAUGCUACGGUGAAUACGUUCCCGGGUCUUGUACACACCG